rnacentral:rRNA from 1 species
GAUGAACGCUGGCGGCGUGCCUAAUACAUGCAAGUCGAGCGAACAGACGAGGAGCUUGCUCCUCUGACGUUAGCGGCGGACGGGUGAGUAACACGUGGAUAACCUACCUAUAAGACUGGGAUAACUUCGGGAAACCGGAGCUAAUACCGGAUAAUAUAUUGAACCGCAUGGUUCAAUAGUGAAAGACGGUUUUGCUGUCACUUAUAGAUGGAUCCGCGCCGCAUUAGCUAGUUGGUAAGGUAACGGCUUACCAAGGCAACGAUGCGUAGCCGACCUGAGAGGGGGAUCGGCCACACUGGAACUGAGACACGGUCCAGACUCCUACGGGAGGCAGCAGUAGGGAAUCUUCCGCAAUGGGCGAAAGCCUGACGGAUCAACGCCGCGUGAGUGAUGAAGGUCUUCGGAUCGUAAAACUCUGUUAUUAGGGAAGAACAAAUGUGUAAGUAACUAUGCACGUCUUGACGGUACCUAAUCAGAAAGCCACGGCUAACUACGUG